rnacentral:lncRNA from 12 species
CCUCUCAACCUCCAAGACCGGAAGAUGGCAGCCAAAACCAAAUGGAAUUCAGAAACCAAGAAUGGCCAGAAGGCUGGCUGUUCACACAGAUUUAAAGAACAUGUGUACAGUAAGCCAACGCUUCAUGUGAUCCCACUAUCCACUGGAGAGACACAGAGAGCCAAGGACCAUGGCUGUGACACCAGUCACUGAAUUAACUCUUCAGGUGAAGUUAAUUCCAUGAACAGCUGCCCCGGGUUGACCAAGCCGAAGUGUUCUUCAGAAAGUCAGCUUGUGCCAUAUCACGUUUGUUCCUGAACAAGGUGAUUUGCUGUAAUGCUGCCAAUUGCCUAGCAAUCAACCGCCAGCUCUGGAAAUAAACCCUGCUACUGUUUAGAGAGCA